GUGCAUUGGGUAGGGGAGCGUUCUGUAAGCGGUUGAAGGUGUGUGGUAACGCAUGCUGGACGUAUCAGAAGUGCGAAUGCUGACAUGAGUAACGAUAAAGGGGGUGAAAAACCUCCUCGCCGGAAGACCAAGGGUUCCUGUCCAACGUUAAUCGGGGCAGGGUAAGUCGACCCCUAAGGCGAGGCCGAAAGGCGUAGUCGAUGGGAAACGGGUUAAUAUUCCCGUACUUCUUACAAUUGCGAUGGGGGGACGGAGAAGGCUAGGUGGGCCUGGCGACGGUUGUCCAGGUUCAAGUGCGUAGGCUGA
rnacentral:rRNA from 1 species